rnacentral:rRNA from 1 species
GAUUGCAGGCUGCAACCCGCCUGCAUGAAGUCGGAAUUGCUAGUAAUCGCGGAUCAGCAUGCCGCGGUGAAUACGUUCCCGGGCCUUGUACACACCGCCCGUCACACCAUGGGAGCCGGUAAUACCCGAAGUCAGUAGUCCAACCUCGUGAGGGACGCUGCCGAAGGUAGGAUUGGCGACUGGGGUGAAGUCGUAACAAGGUAAC